rnacentral:rRNA from 1 species
UACGUAGGGUGCGAGCGUUGUCCGGAAUUAUUGGGCGUAAAGAGCUCGUAGGCGGUGUGUCACGUCGGCCGUGAAAACCUGGGGCUUAACUCUGGGCGUGCGGUCGAUACGGGCAUCACUGGAGUUCGGCGGGGGAGACUGGAAUUCCUGGUGUAGCGGUGAAAUGCGCAGAUAUCAGGAGGAACACCGGUGGCGAAGGCGGAUCUCUGGGCCGAUACUGACGCUGAGGAGCGAAAGCGUGGGGAGCGAACAGG